rnacentral:rRNA from 1 species
UGAGGAAUAUUGGUCAAUGGACGCAAGUCUGAACCAGCCAAGUAGCGUGCAGGAUGACGGCCCUAUGGGUUGUAAACUGCUUUUAUAUGGGGAUAAAGUGGGGAACGUGUUCCCUUUUGCAGGUACCAUAUGAAUAAGGACCGGCUAAUUCCGUGCCAGCAGCCGCGGUAAUACGGAAGGUUCGGGCGUUAUCCGGAUUUAUUGGGUUUAAAGGGAGCGUAGGCCGUUUGGUAAGCGUGUUGUGAAAUGUAGGAGCUCAACUUCUAGAUUGCAGCGCGAACUGUCAGACUUGAGUGCGCACAACGUAGGCGGAAUUCGUGGUGUAGCGGUGAAAUGCUUAGAUAUCAUGAAGAACUCCGAUUGCGAAGGCAGCUUACGGGAGCGCAACUGACGCUGAAGCUCGAAGGUGCGGGUAUCGAACAGG